rnacentral:tRNA from 1 species
CUGGGUGUGGCGCAGUUGGUAGCGCGCUUGAAUGGGGUUCAAGAGGUCGGGAGUUCAAGUCUCUUCACUCAGACCA